rnacentral:lncRNA from 1 species
GUUUGGUUUGCCAUCACUUUUUGUGACUUUUCUGACAUCUGCAAGUGUCGGAAGUGUGACCUGAAACAUUUAAGGACACUUCUGCCUGAACCAUGGGCAGAUGUUUAGACUCCAAGAUACAGAGGAGGAGGGUCUUGGAGGUUUCUUAGUAUAAGUUCCUCCCUGUGGUACUUGCAGUUCCUACAAGGGGCUGUCAGAGAAACAAGCCGGAGAAGAGCAAGACAUGGUCCUGGUGCAUGAAAGGAGCCUAAGAAAGAAGAGUGAAAGCUGCACGUGUUCUACCUCCAGAAAGCCAUAAAAGAGAAAAGAAUGUUGUACCAAACUAAGCAAAUGAAGCAUGAAAUGAAAAGCCGGUUGAGCUGGGAGGUAUAAAGAAUGGAAAGGAAGCAGCUACCACCCCUGGUAACCCCAUCAAUCCGGAGAAGCUUCGCAGAGUUACACUGUGCUCUGUCGGGAAGGAAAUGAAUUUUCCUCAUUGUACACAUUCCGAGAAAAAUGAGGCUAAGACUAUUUCAAAGGAUGUUCUACCUAAUUCGAAUGGGCUUUAAGUGCCAUCUUCACAAUAGCGCCAGAGUCUGGUGUCAGCAAACUGAACAAAUAGAGCUACAGGGAGCGAAUGGGGCUGGGUGCCUCUCCAAAACAUAUGCAGAUGAACUUGAGAUUUCAGAGGACGGUUAAUCCUACACAGCAGUCAAGUGCCUUCCCAGGGGUAUGUCUCAGAUCUCAGAGCAUCCUGGCAGGCAUCCACUGUGCCAUAUGCUUUCGGGAAGUCUGGAUGCUGAAUGUGGUGGCUGUGGGGAAUUGAGCCUUAUUGCUUCAUAAGAUUCCUGGUGGUAGAACUAUUCUGAACAAGAACACGUCCGUCCCCAUAGGUGUGCUCCAAGAAUCACAGAAUAAGAAGGGACUUCGGAGAGAGCCUCACACAGUUGGGCAAUGGGAGCCCAGAGAGGCAAGGAAGGCUCCUUGCCCAAAGUCUUGUACAUCUGAAUCUGCAACUCCUGACUAUUUUUGAGUCUUAUGCUCCAGGCUAAAACUUGUGACUUUAAGUGUGAUGUUCUCGGUGAUGAUUAAUCUAGGAUGUUUCUGUUGUUUUCUUACCGUCAAAGAAUUAACAUCAAAAGGAAAGGAAGGAAGAAAUGUAGAAGUGAAGGCAAGAAGGAAGGAAGGAGGAAAGGAAGGAAGGAAAAUAUAGGCUUUGGGUAAAAAUAAGUUUCUACUCAACACUGACAAAGGUACAGGUUUUGGACAUUGGUUUCCUAAUCUGUAAAUGAGGAAUAGUCAUCACAUCGCUGUCCUGGCUGGUUUUGUGUGUCAACUUGACACAAGCUGGAGUUAUCACAGAGAAAGGAAAGAAAAUGCCUCCAUGAGAUCUAGCUGUAAAUGGAUUAGUGAUCAAGAGUGGGAGGGCCCAGUGUGGGUGGUGCCAUCCCUGGACUGGUGGUCCUGGGUUCUACAAGAAAACAAGCUGAGCAAGCCAGGGGAAGCAAGCCAGGGGAACAUCCCUCCACGGCUCUGCAUCAGCUCCUGCUUCCUGCCCUGUGUGAGUUCCAGUCCUGACUUCCUUUGGUGACGAACAGCAAUGUGAUAGUAUAAGCUGAAUAAACCCUUUCCUCCCCAAC